CGCUGGGACGGAGGAGGCCAGGGGGACCGUUACUGACAGAGGUGCUAGGCCCCGAGACGGCGGGGUAGGAGGUGGUCCGGAGCGGAGAGCAUCGCUGAGGUGAAGUCCCGAAGCCUUCGGCUGGAGCGAGCAACGCCUGCGUGACGUUAGGACCGUGCGCUCGAGUCUCUCGGGGCCAGGUGGGGAAUUCGAAUCUCGGUUACGGGGUCCUAGGUUCGAAUUCUACCCCGCGGGCGCUUUGUUCCUUCCCGUGUUUCGGAAGCAGGAAGCUGGCCCGCCACUCUGCGCCCGCCACGUGACGUAGCGAGGAGGGUUUAGGAACUGGAAUUAGCGGAGCCGGGACUGAAUCUCGUUUCCUUUCUUAAUGUUGCGAAGCCCCUCGCAGCGCUGCGAUCUUUGCCCCUCUCUGCGCCCCAGUUCCCGUCCGCGGUGGAGCCUCCGCUUCCUCGGCACGGCGCUUGACACUGGCCGGGCGCGCAUUGCGCUCCUCUGCCCUCUCCCUGUCUCCCAUGUCCCCGCACGGACAGCGCCUUCCGCCCUCAGCCCCUGACGCUGAGCCCUCGCCGGGCAGAGGAGGGCCUCAGAUCUCCGGGCUCCCAUCCAUCAAAGGCCGCGAGGGCUCCUGGGGGGAGAACACGAGCCUCCGACUGGGCAUCAAGGGCGCGGGGGAGGGCGUCCCCCCGCUCGUUAUUAGCCGCCUACUGCGCUCAAACAGACCUGGGAAUGUCCGACACACACCCUGCGAGGCCCCGGGCGAGUCGGCUAUCUUUCCGGACCCGCAAGCCGGCAAUUUGCUGAUAAAGCACUGCUCUCCACGGGUGGAAAGGAAAGGGAGGCACCUGUAGGGAGGAGGGGCUUGUGGGAGAUUCUCUCACCUGUUCCCACCCUGCACCCGUUAGGGACAACCCUCCUGGAGAUAAACCUGCGGUCAGGCAGCUAGAGGGGCCAGCAGCAACUUUCCUCCGGAUUGGAGACGGCGGCAGAGGGAAGAGGACUCCCCCCGGAAGCUGAAGUCCCAUGGGGAGUUAGGUAUCCUUGGCCUGAAUCCCCCCUUCUAGCUUGCGUUAGCUAGAGGAAUGUCCCCUGGGUUGGGACCCGACUUCUCCUCCCUCCCAACUCAGCCUCUAAUCUGGUGAAGCAAGUCUCUGGGCCUCAGUUUCCUCAUCUGUCAAAAUGAGAACGUUCAGAUAAUCUCUAAAAUCUGCCUAUUAAAACUCCUCCUGGCUCCAGUUUUCUCUAAUUCCUGCGGUGGUUAUUUUGUCCUGCCUAGAAUGGGGUGGGGCGGGUUGAAAACAUGAUACAGCAGGAGAAUAAGCAGCAAUUUACAUUUGCUAUUUAUAAAAAUUAUCUGUGUGAUCUUGGAGAAGUCAAUCUUGUUAGGUCUUUUCUCAUAUGUAAAAUAAUUAUCAUGAUAGAUAACAUUAAUAACACACCGUGCUAUGCUAAGUGCUUUACAAUUAUUUAUUUUUUGGUUGAGGCCGUUGGGGUUAUGGGGUUACGUCCAGGGUCACACAGCUUGUAAGACUCUGAUGUCGGAUUUGAACUCAGGAAUCCUCCAGUUUGUUUGCCACCUCGCUGCUCCUAUGAUUUCAUUUUAUGAGAUAAAAAAGCUAAUGGCCACUUUGGACUAGAUGGCUUCAGAUGUUUCUUCCUUCCUAGAUCUAUGAUCCUAAGGCCAUCAGUUGUGAGACUUCUUAUGCUACUCCCAUAGUGGAGUUUCACUGAACCAUGAAACACUAGGGAUGUCCAUGUGUCCGUGUGUCUCAGUGUUUUAUCUGCCUGCCCAGAACCAUCUCCCCAUGGCCCCACCCUGCACCAUCUCCACCUCCUACCAUUUCUGUAUCUCUCCCCACAGCCAUCUCAGCUGCCCUCAUGACAAGAUUUUUCAUUGGUGCUUUUGGUUAGAAGCUCAAUUUCCUUUUAGCAGAGAUGAUAUUCAAGUAGGACAUCCCAGAGUCCUAGACCCCAGGAUCUUCUUUUUUGAGGCUACAAAGCUAGUGAAAAGUGGAACAGAUUAACAGCUGGGAGGCCAGAGUUCCCUUAUCCUGGCUUCCCCACAAGACUGUCCAAGCUGGCCCUCUCCCAAGGCACCUGACACUGGGAUGAGCCAUAGCAACUAUCAGCAAGGAUUUGUUGAAAUGGCUGUCUUAGCUUUACCACUGACUCACUGUUCAGCCUUGAGUUCCUUUCUCCAGUUUAGUCAAAUUGAUCCCUCUAAUAGUUGCUGAAUAUGCAUUUAUUAAGCACUCACUAUGUGCCAGUCAUUAAAUACUGGGGAUUCAAAAGAAAGCAAAUAUAUAUAUAUAUCAGAAAAAAAUGCCUGUCUUGACCUCUCAUAGUUUUGAUUGUGUUUGGAUUUCUUCUUCCCUGAGUGUCUCCAUCAAAAGCAAUGACCCUGGGGACUGUAUUAUGGGCUGAAUCCCUAAAUCCCCUGGAUUUGGCUUGAUUUUCAGCUGGACAUUUUAUAGGCCUAGAUUCUAUCAACUGCUGCCACUAUCAGAACCCUCACCUUGAACCCAGGUCCAUGGAUACAUAGGGCUCCCAUAGAUCCCAUAAGUCCCAGUUGCUUGGGAUGGGGCUGAGAGGGAGCAGCCAGGGGGGAAUGUAAGGAUUCUUCAAACUACAAUCAAGCUUCUCAAUUUCUCCCCAAACUUCCUUCAGGAUCCCAAAGCUUCUUUCCUCCUAAUCUUCUUCCUUUUCUUCCUCAAGGUUCAAAAUUUGCUCCCAGGAAAUGUUCAGGAUGUCUCUGAGGGCUUGGAAGUCAUUCUCACUUUUUUCCCCUUAUCCUCUAUAUCCAGACAGUCAUCAAGUCCUGUUUCUAUUUUUCUGAUCCUUACCAUCUCCUUUAGUCCAGCCCCUCAUCAUCUUUUAUCUGGGCCACUGAAACAACUUCCUGACUGAAUUGGGAGAAAGGCACAGGGAUAUAUAGUCAACUCAGGCCCCAAAUCAGAGCUGCCCAACAAUGGAAUCAGCUUCCUCAUUAAGGUAGCAAGUUCUCCAUGGCUGCAAGUGUUCAAGAAGCAAAGGUUGGGGUGACCUUGUCUGGGAUGCUGUAGAGGAGAUUUGCACUGGGUGGAAGAUCAGACUAGGCAAUAGUCAAAAUCAUAACAGCUGACACAUCCAUGCUGUUCUGAGAUUUGCAAAGGCCUUUCCAUACAUGCUCUCACUUACAUCUCACAACAACCCUAUGAGGAAAGUAACUCUUCUGGAUCUGACUUCAGACUUACUGCUCCCCAUACCAACCACUCACCAAGCCUACUGCCUUCUCAAUAUUCUAAUAUCCCUUUCAUGGGAAAUGGCCAUUUUAGUACAGCUGAUAUUUGGUCCCACUAUCUUUCUAGCUCUUGAUUUUUCUGCCACUCCCAGUGCUGGGGGUCUAUGAUACAGAAUACAUUCAGAGAAAUGAAGCUAUUGAGAGAGACAAAGGAAAGAGGGAAGGAAAGAAGGAAGGAGGGAAGAAAGAAAGGAAAGAAGGAAGGGAGAGAGGUUGGGAGGAAGGGAGGGAGGUUGGGAGGAAGGAAGGAAGGGGAAGGGAAAGGAAGGGAAGGGAUGUAAGGAAAGGAAGGAAGAAAGGAAGGAAAAAGGGAAGGAAGGAAGAAAGGGAAAGAGGGAGAGAGGGAGGAAGAGAGAAAAGGAGGGAAGGAAAGAUGAGGGAGGAAAGAAAGGAAAAAAGAAUGAGAAAAGGAAGAAUGGAAAAAGGAAGGAGGAAGGGAAGGGAGGAGGAAAGGAAGGAAGGAGGGAAGGAAGAAGAAAGGGGGAAGGAAAAAGGAAGAAAGAAAAAAAGAAAAGAAGGAAAGAAAGAGAAAGAAAAGGGAGAAAGGAAAAAGAAAAAGAAGAAAGGAAUGAAGGAGGAAAGGUAGUAAAGGGAGGAAGAAAAAAGGAAGGAAGGAUGUAAGAAAGGAAGAAAAGAAAGAGAAGGAAAAGAAAGAAGGAAAGAGGAAAGAGAAUGAAUGAAAAGAGGGAAGGGAUAAGGAAGAAGGAAGAUAGACAUAGGAGAGUAAGGAAAUUUUAGAGUAGGAGAGUAAGGAAAUUUUAGAGUAAGGCAAGGAGAAAAGGAAGUGAAAGUAGGAAGAGGGGGAGGAAAUCAGGAAGAGUGGAAUGGGAGCCAGCCCACACUCCUUGAUUGUCCAAGGUGCCAGCGAGAACUGAUCCCACUGACCCUCUAGGGUAUCCACGACCCCUAGUGGCUGAACUUGUAGAUAAGACAAGGGUCUGAAGACAAGAAGGAGACAGAGGUUGGGAGGAGAGAGAGAACAGAGAACCAGGGGCGAGCCA
ensembl:lncRNA